rnacentral:lncRNA from 1 species
UACCCACGGCUCUUCCGUAGGAUAACAGAACUAGAGAGUCGAGUGUCUCCGGCCCCGCAUCCUAGAGAUGGGUGGGCAGCGCACCCAGCCCUGACUGUGGCCUCUGGCUAUGCCCUGCGUAUGCAGGCAUAUUUCUAAAAGUCUGAUCUAACAACUGAAAGGAGGUUCAGAUGAUGCCUUACUUUCUUGAAGGCCAAUCAAGAGGUCCACUUUGUUUGCCGAAAGAACACACUCAGAUCCCCAUCAGGCUUCCUCUCAAUUCCCUUGCCUCCUGCAUGGUCUGGAGCCGCCCUCCUGGGAUCCCCAGCUCCAGGAACUCUCAGUUUCCUGCCUAUUCCCUCUCGUCCGUCCUCCCUUUGCACCCCUGACCCCGCUUCUCCCUUCACAUUCACCACAUCCUUUGAAUUGGUAACACAGAGCCCCAUGGACUGGAGUAGCAGGCCAAAGAUCCUGUGAUUCCCCCAAAAUGUCCUUUAAUAAAGGCGGGUGGAGGAUGUGGCGGCCGAGACCUCGCAGUGCCAAUGACUCUCACGUGCUUCGCGUGUUGUCGGGGACUGUCACCCGCACCUCGAGGGGACAGCAUCCCCUCAGCCCUCCCAGGGCGGACCUCCUGCCUCCCCGACAGAAGCUUCCUCCUGGCCAUCUCCCCUGUCUCAUCUGUAAGUGCUUCCAGACCCUUCACCCACUCACCCUGUUGGCUCACUUUGUGUUUCUGUGCUCUGGACCGAUGUCGGCAGAAAGCAGCAGGACCGUCUGAAUGAGCUGAGGGCCAGCCUGGCAGCAAGAAUGUGCGAAGACAGCAGGGCCUGGGCUCAUGGCUGCCUCCUCUCCUCCUCAUGGCCAGGAUCGCUGCUCCAACACCAGCUCCCAUUUGCAGCCCUUUCUGCUCCAUAGAUUCCCUCUCCUUUACACGUUGUUGUUGCUCCAUUAGGUGACUCAGCCAGCUGUGCCUCAUUUCCUGCCUCCCACGACUCCACUCCAUGUGGCCACAGCCUCUGUCACCGUUCCUCUCAUGCCCAGCGAGGAUCCUCAUCACACAGGCAGAGAAUAUGGAUUGAAAAUGACUCCUGGUACGAGAGCAGAAGCUCAGGACCCUGCCUGCCAAGGCUCCCUGUGCUGACCAGCUGUCACUUCUGCCAAGCAGGACUGCCUUACAGGGUUCUUGUGAGGAUCAAGAACUAACAUGCAGAAGAAUUUAAAAAUGAACUUCAACAUGG